rnacentral:rRNA from 1 species
AUUGAACGCUGGCGGCAUGCCUUACACAUGCAAGUCGAACGGCAGCACGGGUGCUUGCACCUGGUGGCGAGUGGCGAACGGGUGAGUAAUACAUCGGAACGUACCUUAUCGUGGGGGAUAACGCAGCGAAAGCUGUGCUAAUACCGCAUACGCCCUGAGGGGGAAAGCGGGGGAUCGCAAGACCUCGCGCGAUUAGAGCGGCCGAUGCCUGAUUAGCUUGUUGGUGGGGUAAAAGCCCACCAAGGCGACGAUCAGUAGCUGGUCUGAGAGGACGAUCAGCCACACUGGGACUGAGACACGGCCCAGACUCCUACGGGAGGCAGCAGUGGGGAAUUGUGGACAAUGGGGGCAACCCUGAUCCAGCAAUGCCGCGUGAGUGAAGAAGGCCUUCGGGUUGUAAAGCUCUUUUGUCAGGGAAGAAACACCGGCUCUAACACAGUCCGGGAAUGACGGUACCUGAAGAAUAAGCACCGGCUAACUACGUGCCAGCCGCCACCGUAA